GGGCGCUUUCUCUUCCGGCGUUUCUCCAUCUUUCACAUCCUCUGACGACGAAACGCCUCCUAAUAUUUCUUCUCUCUUCUUCUUCGAGAUCCUUCAUCGACUGAACGUCGCCGUACACGAUCGUCUUUAUUACUUGAUCUCUUCGACUUCUCCAGACACGUUCUGUCGACGAAACGAUAUAUCUCCCUAAAACGCUUUCUCCAGGCUCCUUUAUAUAGCAGUCGUCGAAGUACAGUACGUUGUUGGGCGCUUCAUCGCUUUUGGGAUUCGUGGAAUGAAUCUGAUAUGAAGUUUUUUGUUGUACAGAUGAAGAGAGAAAUUGAAACGAUGAAGAUGAUGCAGUUCUUUCAGACCUCUAAAUCCAAUCUCUUGUCUGUGUUAUAAAGGAAAGAGAUCGUUCUUUUUGCAAUUUUAAAUUAGAAGAGAUAGUGGACGCCUUAAAAGACUUCAAGGCUUGGUUUGAUAUCCUCACUAUGAAUACAAGUAAAAUGGCGACUCGGAAGCUGCUGAAUUGUUGGAAGCUAAAAUCAGGAAAUUGAAGCUUGAGUAUGAGAAGCUUGCCCCUGAGAAGAAAUGCGAGGUAUCUGAUCUCUUACGAGCGAACGGGUUCGCUAGGAGUCAGUUCAAGUGUAUCAAAAGCGGGUUUACUGAUAAGUUAAAGAGGAGAGACAAUGAGAUUGCUCAAGCGAACAUGAAGAUUUCGAGUCUUGCGUCUGAUCAAGAGCAGCUUUCGGUUAGCUAAUCUUGAGAAGGAUCUUGAGAAUGAUGAGAUUAUCUCGAGCUUGAAGCCUCUGACGAAUCUGAUGUAAGCCAAUCUCUCAACAAUGACGCUUAAAUCAAUUAUUGUUUUCAAUCUCCUGAACUCAAAAGCUUAGUACCAACAGGAGACGGAGAAAAUUGCGUCGACUUUUACGACAGCGAACAAAAAAAAAACAGACGCCGACCUCACCAUUUACUCAGAAUCAGACAAGAUUUAGAUUCGAAGUCCAACUAUUUUUAAGCCCAAAAAUUUCAGACCCAGUUUUUGCUUUCUCUUUAUAUUGACAUAAA